UACGGGGGGGGCAAGCGUUGUUCGGAAUUACUGGGCGUAAAGGGCUCGUAGGCGGCCAACUAAGUCAUACGUGAAAUCCCUCGGCUUAACCGGGGAACUGCGUCUGAUACUGGAUGGCUUGAGAUUGGGAGAGGGAUGCGGAAUUCCAGGUGUAGCGGUGAAAUGCGUAGAUAUCUGGAGGAACACCGGUGGCGAAGGCGGCAUCCUGGACCAACAUUGACGCUGAGGAGCGAAAGCCAGGGGAGCAAACGGG
rnacentral:rRNA from 1 species